rfam:Blautia sp. CAG:52 genomic scaffold, scf193
UAAAUAGAACCGGGGAGCUUAUGUGAUAGGCUGAGAGGAAGUUGAAAACUUUGACCCGUAUACCUGAUUUGGAUAAUGCCAACGUAGGAACGUUAUGUAAGAGAGUCU